rnacentral:rRNA from 1 species
ACGGGAGGCAGCAGUAGGGAAUAUUGCACAAUGGGGGGAACCCUGAUGCAGCAACGCCACGUGUGGGAAGAAGCAUUUCGGUGUGUAAACCACUGUCGUGAGGGAAUAAUGCUUGAUUUCGGUCAAGUUGAAUGUACCUCGAAAGGAAGCACCGGCAAACUUCGUGCCAGCAGCCGCGGUAAUACGAGGGGUGCAAGCGUUGUUCGGAAUCACUGGGCGUAAAGGGAGCGCAGGCGGAGAUGCAAGCGGACUGUAAAAUCCCGGGGCCCAACCCCGGACCUGCAGUCCGGACUGCACCUCUUGGAUAGUUCAGGGGCAAGCGGAAUUCCUGGUGUAGCGGUGGAAUGCGUAGAGAUCAGGAAGAACACCGAUGGCGAAGGCAGCUUGCUGGGGACUUAUCGACGCUGAGGCUCGAAAGUGCGGGUAGCAAACAGGAUUAGAUACCCUGGUA